GACGGAUGUGAUACGUCAAGUAUGACCCGGAGAGAUACAUGCUAACUAUGGGUAGAAAGCAGGAACCAUUAUGUAAAGAAUUGCGGGGGUUUACAGAUCUCUUAUACUACCAUCGAUCGACAGAGCGGAACAACCAGAAAAAUCAGUGCCGUUAGAAAGCCGUAUGAUAGGUGGUAACUAUCUUGUACGGUUCGGGGGGGUAAUCGGCGUACUCGUAUCAGUGGGGGGGAAUCUUUGGCUCUAUCGAACAUACAGGGAAUUGGAGGUAGCAUUCUACCGAUGUUAAGUCAUGGACUGGUUCCUUCAGCCCUUUUUCUAUGUGUUGGUGUUCUAUAUGACCGACAUCAGACUCGACUUGUUAGAUAUUACGGAGGUUCAGUGAGCACCAUGCCGAAUCUCUCUACCAUUUCCUUCUCUUUCACUUUGGCCAAUAUGAGUUUACCUGGUACUAGCAGCUUUAUCGGGGAAUUUCCCAUCUCAGUAGGAGCUUUCCAAAGAAAUAGCUUAGUAGCCACAUUAGCCGCGCUUGGGAUGAUUUUAGGCGCGGCGUAUUCCCUUUGGCUAUAUAAUCGUGUGGUUUCUGGAAAUUGCAAACCCGAUUUCCUCCAUAAAUUCUCCGAUCCAAAUGGCAGAGAAGUUUCCAUAUUUAUACCUUUUCUUGUUGGAGGGGCGACCGCCCGUUGAACUACCAUGAAAAAAGGGGUAAACCAAUGUGAUCAUGACAUUGUAGGUGCUUGCGAUGGGACGGAUGCGACUUCCCUCAGUUGGUUUGGGUGGCAUAGCCCGUUGCAGAAGUCCCCCCUUAACCAUUUCUUUGGUCUUUAGGGAGCCAAAGCUUGACUUUACUAAGAAAAAAAGGCUGGCGCAGGAGCCUCUAAAUAGUAGGAAACUGAAGGAAGGAGCGAUGUAAUUGAGCGAGACCGGAAAGAAAGAGGAAGCCCACGGUGCGAAGCGAAGGAACUCAACUCCGUUCUAUCAGUUGAGAUCAUCAGCUCUUCUUAUUUCUUUCUCGGAAAAAAUCACUCUUUGUCUUUCUUUCAUUCUCUGUAUCGGUUAGGAAAUAAUAGGCUCGACUUAGAGGAUCGGAAGGAAAGAAAGGACGGGGGGCAAGGAUGCAUGGUACUUCUCGACCCUGUCUCCGAGGGACAGUUGAAGGAGCGACUCAUGAAUGCUGCCGGGUUGGACGAGCCAAUAACUCUCAGGCCUUCGGUCUCUUUUUUGAGCAAGAAUCACAGCCUUACCGCUACGUGGGCUUCACCAUGAUACGGACUCCAAGUUCUGAUGGCGGAGCACGAGGGGAUUUCUCAGAAAUCUGAUGAUGGGAAUGGAAACCAGAAGCACGACCGGGGUCCAAGAUAAUCAAUAAUCAAUAAGAGUCAGGUAAGCAUGAGACUUUUUGGUAGUAGCGGUGAACCAGAUGGCCGCGGCGAUGGAAUCUGGGACGGAGGACUCGUAGUAUCUCUCUAGAUCUGGCAAAAGCUCAAAUUCUUUGAGCCUCCUAACGUAAUUCGAAUGGGGGCGGACCUGACCGCUUUCGCCCCUCUCCUUAUUUAGUAGGUCAACUUGCACGACUUUACAUAAGCUACGCCCUUCUUCAUUGACUCCUUCUUAGUCGAGCUGCUUCGCACCCUAUCGUUUUGAGUCGUCCGGAGGCGCGAAGCGAAACGACUGUUAAGGAGUGGUAUUAUGAAAUAACUCUCCAAAUAAGGAAGGAGAGGGGAGAAGCGAAACGACUGAAUCUAAUAGGAGUGGUAUUAUGAAAUAGCUCUCCAAAUAAGGAAGGAGAGGGUCAAAGAAUUUGAGGCGAAACGACUGAUUUCAAAUAUUUUUAGGAGUGGUAUUAUUCAAUAGCUCUCAAAAUAAUAAGGAAGGAGAGGGUCAAAGAAUUUGAGGCGAAACGACUGAAUUAUCAUAAAAGAAGGAGCCCUUUAUUUGAAGAAAUAACUCGACUCCAAAUAGAGGAGAGGGGAGAAGCGAAACGACUGAUUUAAAGAAGGAGCCCUUGAUUUUCUGAAAUCACUCUCCAAAUAGUAAGGUUCGAAGAAAGUCGACUGAUAAGGAGUCAAUGAACAAGGGCGAAUUCCUUAUUCUUAACAGGAGUGCAACGAAAGAAAUCCAUAUAAACAUAAUGCACUCCUUCUCAUUGAUAAUGAAGGAGUUUCGCUCUCUCUUUAUUCAAUGAGCUUUGAUCCUUAUCUUUUUGAGUCGAGUUAUUGAAUAAUGCACUCCCACCUAAGAAUAAUAAGGGAUAAUUCCUUUCGCUCUCAAAUUCUUCUCAACUCCUCUCCUAUAUUUUUUUCUACGAGUACCUUCGCUCCUCGCAUAUUUCAUUGCGCCUCUAUUUUGAGUCGAGUUAUUUCAUUGAAUAAUAAUCGUCGGGCUCUGAACCUUAUCAGUCGAGCUGCCCUUGUUCAUUGACUCCUUAUCAGUCGACUUUCUUCGAACCUCCAAACAAACCUUCGCUCCUCUCCUUCCUAACCUCAGUCGAGCCGCUUUCGCUCCUUCGCUCCUUCACAGUCGCUUCGCUUCGCGCCUUCGCAAAUUCUUUGCUCCUUUCCAGUCGCUUCUCAACCUUUGUUCAUUGAUUCAGCUUGAAUCUUGGACUCCUUUCAGUCGAGCCUCCUCUGCUUUUUUAGCCUACGGAGUCUCUCAUUGAGGACCUUUGUUUUCUUUGAGCCUCCGCGCGCUCUUCAUUUUUCAGCGUCUUUCUCGUGGCGGGAAGAGAACAAGAGGAGGUAUCGAUAGUCGGACUGAUUUAUUCCAUAUACUUUGAGUAGGCUUUCUUCUUUCUGGUUGGUACUUAUAGAGGGCGAGCUUUAUUUAAGAGAGAAUGGGGAGUGAAUCUCAUCCGUUUUCGUUCUUGCUUUGGUUCGGGCUCCUCUCUCUCUUAUUCGUAGUUAGGAAGGGGGAAGGAGUCUAAAUCAAUGGACAUUAAUUCACCAUCAUUGAUGGACGUUGCACAUGACACACGAGAAAUUCGACUCAAGGUCCGGCGCUAAUAGAAGUAGCGGACUCUCCUAGUAGCGAAGGAAAAGGGCAGGGCUUUUUUCGUCGUAAUAGUGGGCCGGUCUCAUGAGAUCUAUGCCGGCCGAAUCAAAUUCAGGUCGCAGCAGAGUAAGCUACUCCAGAUGAGUUGACGCCCUCGCCUGGCGCCAUUCCCGGACCUAGCAGCAGACGGGCAGGCCGGGCCAGAAUUCAGACCAGACUCUUCUUUCUUUGAGCUGCUCCCACGCACGCAGACCGGAAGAUCUUGUCCUGGACUGGACAAGUACGUAGAGAUCUUCGUGGGACCGGGGAGGGAGUCUCAAUCGAUCUUUUCUAGGAUUCCUUAUCACGCACGGAGAUCUUUCCAUUGUCAGAGGUGGUAUAACUACCACCUUGAAGAGACUCAGAAAGGUUAGCUUACUACCUGCCUGCCUCUACUACAGAGGUUGACUUUGUACCGCCCGGAGGUCAUAUAGAUCGGAACCCGGAGCGAUAAGAAGGGUCGGUCAAUAGCAUAGCUCUUUCUUUCCCGGGUCUCCUUUCUCCUUCGAAAGGCCUUCGCAUUCCUAAUCCGGUGGGGGGGCCGGACGGCUUUCUUUGCCCCAGCUUGGCGAAUCGCAUCCCCGCGCAACGACAUUCUUUGUGCGCCCCUGACCGUUCUCGCUCAGUCUUUGCAAGGGCUGGGGAGGCAGUCUACGAAGCUCAGCCUAUCGCCACGCCGACCAUCAAAUACGACCUUCUCAAAGAAAAGAUGGAAUGGCCGGCCCCAAGAGCGCUUAUGUCAUAUAGGAAGGCUGGAAAGAAUCCCAUAAGUUCAGAAGAAGAAGAAGUUUGAGUCAUCCGCAUCUCUGGGUCCUUUCAUCCUACAUAUUCCCACGGGGCGGUCGGACGGGUCCUCCGGCGCGAAGCGAAAGGCAUUUAUCUAAGAAAAUCAGAGAAAAGGAGUCCUUCGCAAAUUCUUUGCCCCUAACUACGGGAGUGCAACGAAAGAAUUCCACAGGCUAAUUAAACUAGUCCUCACUGGUUUAAUUUAAACAAAGGCUGAAUUCAAGCUAAUAUGGAUAUAAACAAGUCCUACGGACGGGUUCAAAGAAGAUUUCAAGGACUCCGGACGAGUUCCAGAGGUCUCGACUGAAAGGAGAGUGAGGCGCAAAGAAUUUGCGAAUAAAGUCAAAGAAUGAUCGAAGAAUUUGAGCUUUUCAUUCCACUCAUUCAAUGCCUGAGGACGGACGUAGGACCACUCAAACUUCUGUCCUCCGGACCGGUAGGAAUAAGAGAAAGAAAAGUCCAGGUUGGUUGGUGAGCCUAGUGAUAGGAAACUAUCUAGCUUGGUUCGGAGAGCACUUGUUGGGUUCAAUCUUUCUUUCUUGCUAAAUGUUACGGCCUAAAUGCUAAACUAUUGACCCUACUUGUUCGGAUGGGUGUUCACCCCAAAGUGUUCCCGGACCACAUGCAUACAUCCGUAAGUAACUUAGUGCAACAUGGCAAAUUUCAUUGAGAGGAAUCAGUAAAGAAAAGAAAAAGGAAGA